rnacentral:rRNA from 1 species
GGCGGCGUGGCGGCGUGCCUAUAAUGCAAGUCGUACGCUUCUUUUUCCACCGGAGCUUGCUCCACCGGAAAAAGAGGAGUGGCGAACGGGUGAGUAACACGUGGGUAACCUGCCCAUCAGAAGGGGAUAACACUUGGAAACAGGUGCUAAUACCGUAUAACAAUCAAAACCGCAUGGUUUUGAUUUGAAAGGCGCUUUCGGGUGUCGCUGAUGGAUGGACCCGCGGUGCAUUAGCUAGUUGGUGAGGUAACGGCUCACCAAGGCCACGAUGCAUAGCCGACCUGAGAGGGUGAUCGGCCACAUUGGGACUGAGACACGGCCCAAACUCCUACGGGAGGCAGCAGUAGGGAAUCUUCGGCAAUGGACGAAAGUCUGACCGAGCAACGCCGCGUGAGUGAAGAAGGUUUUCGGAUCGUAAAACUCUGUUGUUAGAGAAGAACAAGGAUGAGAGUAACUGUUCAUCCCUUGACGGUAUCUAACCAGAAAGCCACGGCUAACUACGUGCCAGCAGCCGCGGUAAUACGUAGGUGGCAAGCGUUGUCCGGAUUUAUUGGGCGUAAAGCGAGCGCAGGCGGUUUCUUAAGUCUGAUGUGAAAGCCCCCGGCUCAACCGGGGAGGGUCAUUGGAAACUGGGAGACUUGAGUGCAGAAGAGGAGAGUGGAAUUCCAUGUGUAGCGGUGAAAUGCGUAGAUAUAUGGAGGAACACUAGUGGCGAAGGCGGCUCUCUGGUCUGUAACUGACGCUGAGGCUCGAAAGCGUGGGGAGCAAACAGGAUUAGAUACUCUGGUAGUCACGCGUAAACGAUGAGUGCUAAGUGUUGGAGGGUUUCUGCUCUUCAGUGCUGCAGCUAACGCAUUAAGCACUCCGCCUGGGGGAGUACGA